UCAAAAACGAUGAAGUGGCUGUGAUAAAAUCACAACCAUUUCAUCGUUAGU
rnacentral:precursor_RNA from 1 species